CUGGGAGAAUCUGUCCAGUGUCUUUAUCAAAAAGAUCGCCGGUUUUGUGAAUGCAAAGGUUCUAGACACGUCUAUCCAGCAGGUGUCGCUGGCUAUUCUGGAGAGCAUGGUGCUCAGCAGCAGUAGUCUGUUUAAUGAGGUCAAACAAGAAAUCACCCUGGAGAGACUCAUUUCCCAUCUGCAGGUAACAAACCAGCAGCUGCAGACUAAGGCCAUGGCUCUGCUGAUGGCGAUGCUGCAGGCUGGUGGCGAGGCAGACAGACAGGUGAGAGGUUGAGAGGUUUUUGUUUCGUC